ACAUGAGCAAAAUCUCAACUGUUUUAGAAGAGAUGCAUUUAUUAGAUAAAAAACCAGUACAUAUUUUUACAGUAUGAAAGUUGGUGAUUUACAAUAACUUAGCAAAUCGCAAAGUGUAAACAGGCGAUAAAUCAUUCAAGUUUCUGACCUAUCAGCUUUCGACGGUAUGGUAUUGGCUUACCGUGGCAGUGACGGUUAACGGGGGAUUAGGGUUUGAUUCCGGAGAGGGAGCCUGAGAAACGGCUACCACAUCUAAGGAAGGCAGCAGGCGCGCAAAUUACCCAAUUCUAACAGCAUAAGAGAGGUAGUGACAAGAAAUAACAAUACAAGGCAAUUAAAAUGCUUUGUAAUUGGAAUGAUAGAAAUUUAAACACUUUUUAAAGUAUCAAUUGGAGGGCAAGUCUGGUGCCAGCAGCCGCGGUAAUUCCAGCUUCAAUAGCGUAUAUUAAAAUUGUUGCAGUUAAAAAGCUCGUAGUUGAAUUUCUGUUAAAAAUAACCGGUCUGCUUUUAUUAAAAGUGGUAUUUUGGUGUGUUUUUAGCAAUAAUGUCCUUUGAAAUGUUUUUUACUUUAUUGUAAUAAGUCAUUAUUUUGAGGAUUUUUACUUUGAGAAAAUUAGAGUGUUUCUAGCAGGCUUACGCUUUUGAAUACUGCAGCAUGGAAUAAUAAG
rnacentral:rRNA from 1 species